rnacentral:rRNA from 1 species
GAAUUCGCCCUUAGAGUUUGAUCCUGGCUCAGGACGAACGCUGGCGGCGUGCCUAAUACAUGCAAGUAGAACGCUGAAGAGAGGAGCUUGCUCUUCUUGGAUGAGUUGCGAACGGGUGAGUAACGCGUAGGUAACCUGCCUUGUAGCGGGGGAUAACUAUUGGAAACGAUAGCUAAUACCGCAUAACAAUGGAUGACACAUGUCAUUUAUUUGAAAGGGGCAAUUGCUCCACUACAAGAUGGACCUGCGUUGUAUUAGCUAGUAGGUGAGUAACGGCUCACCUAGGCGACGAUACAUAGCCGA